ACAAGUAAGUAUACUUAAUGUGUAACGGACAUUUCAGUUUCACAAAGAAAUGUGCAGAAUUUUAAUUAUAAUAUAUAUAUAUAUAUAUAUAUAUAAAAUGUGAGAAAAUCGUAUUGUUAAAAAUCAGCAUCAUGAAUUCUAUUGCAUUGAGUUCAGUGAAUUGUUACAUGCCUACUGUUGACUGUUACUGGUUCAGUGAACUUGCUUUUGAGCUAAACUCUUCAUGUCAUCUGUGUGAUUUAACAGAUAUAGACAGACUGUAGAAAUGAAAUAGCACAGAGAAAACUGCAAAAACCAACAGAACAGAGAGAAAAAUGCAGACCAGAAAUGAAGCACAAAGCAGUGAAUCACAAAAGAAAAGCAGACAGAGACACACAGAAUGGAGCAGCACGUGGAAUAUAAAGCCAGACUUCUCACAUGAUCCAGAGGGGCCUGUAAAAUUUUAUUCAGAUGUUUUCAAGAACACAACAUCAGUAACAUCCAGAUACCAGUGACUGAAGACUAACAUCAUCAUCAUCAUCAUCAUCAUCAUCAUCCAGACUACAGUCUUUUCAGCUCCUGGACUGUUUCAGAGGAACCUUUUUAUGUACCUCGUUUAAUACAUCUGAGAUGUUUUCUGAUAAUUGAUCUCUGAAUAAUUUGGUUCUUCAAACAAGUUAGCAGAUUUGAUUAAGGGUGCUUUCACACUUGGUUUGCUUGCCUGGUCCGAACCCGAGUUUGAUUGCUCCCCGCUUCCCCUGCCCCCGCUGAACUGCGUUCAUAUUAUUUUAUAUGGGUCAGAUUAUUUUUUUUAUUAUUUUAUAUGGGUUAAACUGAAAUUUAAAAAAUGAACAAUUCACUCUUAGCUCCAUUUUUUUAUGAAAAUCCUACAAAAAAAUAACUCCCCUGAACACAAGAUGAAAUAUGAAGGGCACUCUUGAAGCUUCUAAUUGUUCCAGGAGAUUGUUGAGGGCCUUUUCCUUGUCCUCUUCCUCCAUUAUAAGGAAACAAGGCUCUUCAACUGGCCCCUGAGCAGAUGUCUGUUAUGGAGCCAUUUCACAACUCCUGUCAGAUCACUGGGAUCUUCUUCAUUACAGAAUACUAAAGGAAAAUGUAACUUUAAUAUUUCUUAUUAAUGUGUGUGUGUGUGUGUGUGUAUAAUAGACAGAUAGAUAGAUAGAUAGAUAGAAAAAUAAAUAGAUACAGUAAAAAAUAUCGGCA
ensembl:lncRNA